rnacentral:tRNA from 1 species
UGGGGCAUAGCCAAGCUGGUAAGGCAUCGGUCUUUGAAGCCGCCAUGCGUAGGUUCGAAUCCUACUGCCCCAA